GACGAACGCUGGCGGCGUGCUUAACACAUGCAAGUCGACAUGAGUGGCGGAGGGGUGAGUAAUACGUGGUUACCCUGCCCUCCUUUUUAGGAUAAGCCUUGGAAACGGGGUCUACUACCGAAUGAAGGGGGAUGUGCUCGCGGCCUAUCGGCUUGUUGGUGGGGUGAUGGGCUACCAAGGCGUUGCCGGGUAGCCGGGAUGAGCGGCGGAACGGCAACAUAGGGACGGACAUGCGGCCCACAGUAGGACGGGAGGGAGAAGAUGGGGAGAUUGGACAAUGGGCGAAAGACGGAUGCAGCGACGCUGAGGGGGGGAUGAGGGCUGUAGGGUUGUAACACUCGUGCGCUAGCGAACGGGUAGGUGGAGAAGAAGCGCCGGCUAACUACGUGCCAGCAGCCGCGGUAAUAC
rnacentral:rRNA from 1 species